rnacentral:lncRNA from 1 species
UUCACCUAUUGAAACUCUAGAUAAAAAAAAAAAAAAAAAAAAAACCGCACACCAGAUCCCUCCAUUUCUCCUCUGCGUAUGCUUCUUCUUGGGGAAAACCCUAGACAAACACUACCUGUCUCCUCCUCAACUCCGAUGACCGGAGUAAACUCCGGCGAACAGCUGACACACACACCCUCAACUACUCUUCUCUCAUUUUUCUCAUUGUAGUGAAACCCUAACACAAACAACCACUGCCACUCCAUCUCCCUUCCCUCUCCCUCUCGUUCAAACACUGGCUGAUCUACACAUCUUUAGAUGCUCAUUAAGUCAAUGGAUCAUCAGAUUCUAACAAAUAAAGCGUUUUAAGAAAGUAUUAAUUUGGUUCGAGUCGGCGGCGGUUGUGGCUUAAGAAGAAUUCAGGUCAAAUCUUGACGGGUAUGGGUCAAAGUUGAGAUUGGUUAGAAAGGGAUCAUCAGGUACGGGUGUUGGCUUAAUCAUGUUAUCUUUUUUAUUUAGUAUUUGUGCAGAGGGAGACUUGAAGGGCCAGGUCUUGAAGAAUUGAUUCAAUAGACGUGCUUUGAAUAAAUUAGAACACAUGUAGGAUUAUUCAGCAAUUUUGUAAAAUUCAUAGCUUAUGCUGUUGCUUAGUAGACGUUUGUAAAAGUUUGGAAUGUUUGGAUGAUGAUUAUACUUUUAAAUAAAGUGAUGAUAUUAUGAUUUCUACAUUAUUAGCUU